rnacentral:rRNA from 1 species
GUGGUAUUAACACUCAAGGCAUUCGUCCCUGCUGAAAGGGCUUUACGAUCCGAAAACCUUCAUCACCCACGCGGCGUCGCACCAUCAGAGUUUCCUCCAUUGUGGAUGCCUCUCG